AGAGUUUGAUCAUGGCUCAGGACGAACGCUGGCGGCGUGCCUAAUACAUGCAAGUCGAGCGGAUCUAUCCUUCGGGGUAGGUUAGCGGCGGACGGGUGAGUAACACGUAGGCAACCUGCCUGUAAGAUCGGGAUAACUAUCGGAAACGAUAGCUAAGACCGGAUAGCUGGUUCUCUCGCAUGAGAGGAUCAUGAAACACGGAGCAAUCUGUGGCUUACAGAUGGGCCUGCGGCGCAUUAGCUAGUUGGUGAGGUAACGGCUCACCAAGGCGACGAUGCGUAGCCGACCUGAGAGGGUGAUCGGCCACACUGGGACUGAGACACGGCCCAGACUCCUACGGGAGGCAGCAGUAGGGAAUCUUCCGCAAUGGACGCAAGUCUGACGGAGCAACGCCGCGUGAGUGAUGAAGGUUUUCGGAUCGUAAAGCUCUGUUGCCAGGGAAGAACGCCAAGGAGAGUAACUGCUCUUUGGGUGACGGUACCUGAGAAGAAAGCCCCGGCUAACUACGUGCCAGCAGCCGCGGUAAUACGUAGGGGGCAAGCGUUGUCCGGAAUUAUUGGGCGUAAAGCGCGCGCAGGCGGUGAUUUAAGUUUGGUGUUUAAUCCCGGGGCUCAACCCCGGGUCGCACUGAAAACUGGGUCACUUGAGUGCGGGAGAGGAAAGUGGAAUUCCACGUGUAGCGGUGAAAUGCGUAGAGAUGUGGAGGAACACCAGUGGCGAAGGCGACUUUCUGGACCGUAACUGACGCUGAGGCGCGAAAGC
rnacentral:rRNA from 1 species